CAGUCACCUGGAUUAGAGAACAAAUACCCCUCAGCAAACCCUAGUCUUUGUGUAUGUGCAGCCACCAUAAGCUUGACCUGUGACAUGUAACAAACAAAGACAUGGGAUAGGCCGGGGCCACGUCACCAAGGCAAAAACAAAACAGGCCGCCAUUAUCUUUUGUUAUUGUACACGGGGUGUUUCAUACCUUGAGGCCCAUGGGGAUGGGUAAGAUACCAGGUAGGCUAUCAUAUCGCGAGACAGGUUUUAAAUUAGCCACUACAGCACCAUGCACACCUGUGUAUCUACUGGUGACAUUUCAAGUUCAACAUGGACAGGCUAGGGGCUGAUUUGAAAGAAAAGGUCAAGUUUACAAGUCAUCAAAAGUAAGUGCCUUUAAGAGAUGGGAUGUUCCACAUCGAAGUCGACUGUUGUCACCAGUACUAUCAGCCCACACCCAGGCACUGAUAAUGGCAAACAAGAACCUGAAGCCACACCCAAGACAAAACAAGGGUCACAAGAUAAUAAAAACCAAACACCAGCCCAUCAUGGCUGUACCAGUGCACAUACUUGGAAGGAUGGGGAGAAAAAUCUGGACCCGGAGACAACAGUUGAAGAAUGCUGGAAAGAAAUAGACAAGCAGUGUUGGACAUGUACCAAGGCAGAGGGCAAGGAAACUUCCAGAGCGCUCGGAGGCUGGCAGGUCGUGCGAGUGUUCGUGUCGUCCACAUUUACUGACUUCCAUAUGGAAAGGGAGGCACUGGUCAAAAAGGUGACACUAUGUAUUUAUAUAAAUACAAACUUUAAUGUGG